rnacentral:lncRNA from 1 species
CGCGUCCUUGAUGGCGCUCUUGGCACUGCUGAUCGCAUUGUAACGCUCUUCUUCCCUCCUUUUUGUCUUUGGAAUCAAAUUUGCAAAAGAUUUCACCACCGUUGAUUUUUGGUUCUGAGCGAAGCAAAGUUAAAAAUUUUUAGUUUUUAAUGGUAUCAAAGCAGUUACUUUUUCGUUUUGCCAUUGAAGAAGCUAAAAGCAAGUAGUAAUAUGUAACAACUUCAUAAAACCAUAAUGUCUUAGGCCAACUCUCUAUACCUAAGGUUGUGUGGCAAAACAAUUGGAGUCUUAUCUAGGGAGUAAUUUUGGAUUUCACCUUGUGACACUUCUUUAAAUUAUUGGCUUUCCUUGUAGGUGCUAGUAUCAGGGAAGGAAGAACCAGAGGCACUUCUUUCCCCUGCGAUGGAUGCUGCUCUAAGAGUUUUCAAACGCAUCUCUGGGUUACAUGAUAACGAAAGGGAUGCUAAAGCAGCUGGAGCUGCAUUUUGUUCAAUCCGUUUGCUGGUAGCAUAUGCACAAGCAAUUAAUUUAAUUGGAAAACAGGGCUCUGUAAUCAAGUCAUUACAAGAGAGCACAGGUGCAUCUGUGAGGGUGUUGCCAGCAGGUUUGUUUUGGACGCUUGAAAACAUCAUUUUAAUGCAUAAGACUUCUUUGGGUUCGCUUUCUUGCUUGGUUAAGCUUUUAGGUGAUAGGACUUUGAAUAGAUAGAAUAAAAUGGAAUUGAUCGGUGUAAUUUGAAUGCUCUUAUCUUAUUUUGUGCAACAUUAUUCAUGUAGGUUUAGACAUGAAAUGUACCUCAAAUUAAUAAAGUCCUGGCUAAAUUCUGCAUGGUUUAGUGGAUUACAUGGUAAAUGGUUGAAAUUCCAAGCUUCAUUGUUUGCAAUUUUAUGUAUGCACAUAUGAGCAUGUAUGUACAUUCUUCAUUUACCUAUGUCUAGGGGGAAUUCAUGUGCUUUGGUUGUGUAUUUGUGUCGGGUAGAGGGCUUUGUUGGAAGGGGCUAUUGUGUCCCUUGUGAAUUUUAAUGAAGAUUUAGAGAACUUAAGGGGGGCUCAUUUUCUGAUUGCAUGUCUUCUUGUACCGUCUUGCCUCGGCGGAGUUAGGGUUGUCCCUUUCAAUUACAAAAGAAGGUUAAGUAAUUAUUAAUUUUGAAGUCCAUUUCCUUUCUUUCAAGUCAUCUUCUAAGCUCGUGCCUUAUUACUGAAAGGAUUUCAGUUGCCUGGACAACUUCCACCAUCACUUUUUGGUUGGUGCUUCUUGAAUCCUGUCAAUUUGAGAUUCUUACCUUGAUGGUGCACAUGGUUUUGUAGAUAUGCUUAGCUGAAAACCCAUUUUGCCAAAACUAGGAUAAGAUAUUGCUACCUUCCUGCAUGAUGUUAGUAAUACUCUAAAUGACUGGCUUAUGCUAAACAUUAUCAGAUUGAGGAAUCAGCAUGUCUCCAUGUUAGGCUGCAAAGCCCAAAGUUCAGACUGUUGGUGUGGCUGUUUGCUUUACUUUUUUGAUUCUUUGGUACCUUUCAUAUUUUACUAUUUAACUCAAAUCAAAAUGUGAUGUCUGGUUCUGGAGGAGUCCAAACUCCCCAUCUAUUAAUAAAAAAUGUUCAGCAGGAACAGAAAGGGGAUUUUGUCAGGACUCACUUUAUGAAGUUGUUUAAGAUGUGGCAAACUGUUAAGAAUGAAUCCGAGGUUGCAUAAGGUUCCCUAUGAACUUAUCACAUACAAUUAUAGCCAACUGAUGCAGGCGGAAGAAGGAACAUUUUCUAGUGCUUUGCAAUUUAAAAGAGCUCUUCACCUAGGAGGAGCAAAUAACAUUGAUUCAAAAUACAAAUUAUCAUAUUUUUGUGUCUACUUGGUUCUGUCGCUCUUGCAUUUUGGGGGCAUGUAUUUAACACAUUGACAAACAUGGUAUCGUGCCCAUAUUGGCAACUAAGGGGGUUGGUGGUUAGACUGUGACUACCUACAUUGUCGAUAUGUCUGUUGUAGAGUCAUGGUCAUGUAAAAGUGGUCAGAAGAAGAGUAAGAAGAAAAGGAUCAAAGUGAAAAGGAAAAAUGGGUGAUUUAAUGCAGGCAUGUGUUAGACAUAAUAGGUUACCCUUUUGAUCGGGUUAUAAAUUAUUAAUUGACUUGGUUAUUUUCUUUAAUUAAUAAUGGGGAUUUGUUGGUAGCCCUCUGCCUUGGUCUAAGACAUAAGCUUUAGAGUAGCAAUUUGGGCUAUUAACAAGAAAUAUUGUUUUUUGAGCUGCAUGCAAGCAACUUGACCAUGAGCCUGUUGUUGUAUUCUAUGUUGGAAAGCUAACCCUUAAAUUUGAACUUUUACUCUUCAUCUCUUUGAUGAAUUUGUGAUGCUUUUGAAGUAAUAUUAUAAAAAUAAGAUAGAUUUAUAUUUCGUCCUCCAAUUAUUUAGACCACCUUAGUACUGUAAAUUGUACAGGGAGUCCAAGCAUUUGUAUCUUAAUUUUGGUUCAAGAAGUGCCCAUAAAUAAUAGGCUUUCAGGUUGUGAAAAUUUUAGAAUGACAUGGUAUUGUCAUGAUAGCAGAUGAAUUGCCAUCUUAUGCGGCAGCAUAUGAGAGGAUUGUGGAGUUGCAGGGAGAAGCCCUGAAGGUUCUUAAAGCUCUUGAAGAAGUGGUGGGGCACCUGAGAAAAUUUUUGGUUGAUCACAGUGUUCUUCCUCUUUUUGAAAAAAUGGUAAGUUUGAUUUCUGUCAAACUGUUGUUAUGUGCACUGCAAUUGUUUCUUCUAAGUGGCAUUGUCUUCCUUUGCGGAACAAUGCAAUCAUCUCUCAGGAUCUUCAAGCAGAGACUCAGGCUGAAAAGUCGUCUCUGCUUACGGCUUCUCAAAGUGGAAUUGGUAUCGAUCUUCCUGUUACAGCAAGAGGGGAUUCUUUGUUCCUUGAACAUGAAACACAGUUGGAGUCACGAAUUCCAUCUUCUGGAAUUUCUUUCUAUACACAGGAUCCCACGCUUUCGGCAAUAUAUUCUUCUUCUGGACUUGUUCGAUCUGUUGUUCCUAUUGUCACACAGGUAUGUUUCUGUAUGCAUAAUUCCUGUUUGCAAAGGGUCAAAGGUGAAAUUAGAGAUUUUGAGGUCAAACAAGGGAGCGAAAGAGAGUAAGUGGAGAUCAGAUGGAAAAUUAGAGGCCAGAUGAAAUUGGACAGAACAGGAAUAGGGUAAUUAAGAGAUAGAGAAACGGAGAGAACAAGGAGAGAGAACCAAGUUUAAUACUCCAAACUCUCGGUAAUUCUUAGCCUAAACCUGGUUGAAAGAUAAUCCAUUGAAGUAUCUAUAGGCACAAGCCAGAAAAUCUGAAUAACAUAAACUUAAAUGUCAAAUAAAUCUAUAAGCAGUAAUAAAUAACCCCAAGGUGAUUCUCCAUUAUGUUAGAUGUUAUGUUAAUAGAAAAAGAUGAGAGCAAUAUUACUUUGAGCUUCUUUUUGGUUUCAUUCAUACCCUACUUGGUCUGAAGGCAAUGCGAUUUGAGUUGCAGGCUUGAAUGUAGAAAAUUUUCUCUGUUAUGCAUGUUCAUCAUUAUGUACUUUCAGGGUUAUCUACACCUAGAGUUUAGUGUCUUCAUUCGAUCUAUAUGUACACAUAUUGCCUUAUGUGUUAUCAGUUCGCUUGAUGCAUACUUGGUAUCAGAUUGCUCAAACAAUGCAAAUACCAUUUUCUUAUGCCGAGGACAUCAUUGGGAUAGGAGGAGCUAAUAUUGCACAUAUUCGCUGCACUAGUGGAGCUGUCAUAACUGUGCAAGAGAGUAGGGGCAUGUCUGAUGAAAUAACUGUGGAAAUUAAAGGUACCUCAACACAGGUUCAGUUGGCUCAACAACUGAUUCAGGUACGAGGCUUUUGAGAUUGACUUAUUUGUUAGUUUAGACCCAACAAAAUUGAAUUCUUUGGCCCGCUAUGAGGGCUCUUUUCUUUUGGUAGUUCUCUUUAACGGGUGUAUGCAUUAGUGAGGUACAUAUGAGGGGUGAUUAAAGUUUUUGGUUCAUGCAGGAUUUUAUGAGCAAUCACAAAGAUCCGGUAACUAGCGGCGACUAUGGAGACUCAAGUUAUAGGUCCUCGUACUCUCAGAUGGGGAGCACAUCUUCACUAUCAAUGCAACCCUAUGGCGGACAUGGGGGAUCUUCUUCAAAUGUAGGUGGCUACCCUACUUUUAGGCUUUAAGGUCUUAUUCUAUCUGAGUGAUUUCGGGAUUGAGCUUGAGAUAGAGAAUGGUAGGCAUAGGAGUGCAGGAUUAGUCAGUUUGUGAGUGUUAGAAUAGAAUUUUUGUUGGGGGAGUAUUAUAAGUAAAAUUACUAGAGUUAUCACAUAUUCGUGCUUUCUUCUUCAUUCGAAGUAACGUUGAUACCAUAUGGGAGAAAGAUUGAAGAAAUAGAGUUUCAAUUCAAGCAGUUUGAGGCUGCGUAGAAGAUGAUUGGUAUAAACCAGUGGACACAUGUUUCUUAGUAUUAAGAUUUUUAGCUGAAAUAAUUAUAUACCACUCACUCAGUUAAUCAUUAAUUAGUUUUUUCUUAACAUAUUUGACGAGUUACCAUAAGCAACGCAUGGAUGAAAUUUAAUAUAAAUAUUAUUUUUAGGGGAGAAAUUUUAUCCAUUUUUGAAACCAACUAAAUACAUUUAUCCAAAAUUAUUUUUGCAUGGACCAGAUUUCCUAGACAACUAUCAUGAUAUUUCCAGAUGCAGUUCCUUGGUAUCUCAACAAGUUCAAAUACCACCGCCUACAAAAUCUAUCAUCAAACUUGUCUUCUUUACAUAAAUAUAAUAUUUCAGAAUUUUAACAUGUCGUUUUAAAACCUAAUUUUGAUUAAAAAUAAAUAGAACCGACUUGAUUUAAGAAUUAAGGUACUAUAAAGAAAUGUUUUUUUUUCUAAAAAAAUUAUAAGGGAAUUGCUAGAGUGCUAUAAAAUGAAAAUUUUAAUUUUUUUAACAUGGAAAAGUAGAAAAUUAAAAAAAAAAACUUAAAACCGGACAGUGAUUAUCCAAAACUAAAGGCUAUUCUUUGUCCAGGAUGACUAUAAUUCACCAUGCCCUGCUUUCUACUUUGCCCAUCCAAUAAGACAAAACUUUCAAAAAAUAAGAUGUGAAUCUAUCUUUUUAUGCAAUAUAAAAUUAAUAAUUAAUUUAUUAUACAAAUAAUGAGGUUCAAAAGCAAGCUCGUUUUUUUGGAAUUUAAAUGGAUAACACGAAGACACUUGUUGUUGAAGCAAUAAAUAAAGAAGUAAAAAUGAUGUAUGUAAAAUAUCUUGGAAUGAAGGAAACACCUCUGACCCUCAUCAACUCAAAAUAUCCUAUACCCAUUUCUUUUAGGAAAAAAAGGAUGACACUUUCUAGAGUCCCACCCAUUCUAUUACUUUGGUAGGAUAAUAAAAAAAAUUACUUUUCAUCCUUCAUAUCUUUCAUUUUUAUGUUUUACUCUUCUACCCUACCUUUCUAUUAAAUUUUGUUAUUUAUAUAUAAUGUUUUCUAAAGAAGUGUACUUAUCACCUCUUUCUAUUAGGAUCCAAUACCACAUACACUUGGAGAUUUGAAAUAGAGGAGUGGGUGGCAGAUUAGGAAAUUUGAAAAAGGGAAUAUCAUAGAAAGAAAGAAAGAAAGGGGCAGAAUUGCAAAGGUGUCAAAUUUACAUAAUAGUUUGGUUGAUAUAAAUAAUCACAACGUUUGCUUAGCAUCUGCCACACAAAAGACGGCAAAAGGCACCAAAAAGCCUCUAUCAAUGAUUGAUUACUUCUUACAUAUACCAUAUCUGUAUAUGAAAGAUGUCCAAAAUCCUACCUCCUUACCUCGAGACACGUGAAAACGAUUAAAGGGCAUGCCACCUCAGCCCUAGAAAAUCUAGAGUACCCAAUCAGAGGAUGCCAGUGCCAUCUCAGCAGAUAAGACCCUUUUCAAAGAAUUUUGGACAACUUAUGGGGUAGCAUGCCACUUCCACCUUACCCUGCCCAUCUUUACCAUUACAUUAGUCAAUUGCCCUUUUCAAUUUCAUUCUUCUUUAAAUCUAUGCAACGCAUCAACAAAUCCAACCCAACCCUCAUGUUUUUAAAUUGAUUAGUUUUUCAAUAAAUUUUUGUAUUAAGAGUUAAGUUAUAUUUUAUAUUAUCUAUUCAAAAAAUAAAUAUAUUAAUCCUUUUAUAUUCAAUUAUCGAAUAUUUCUAUUUAUUUAUAUCGUUAAAAGUUAAUUCUUAGUAAAUAAAAUAUUUUCUUUUUAAUUUAACUUACAUAAAUUAAUUUACUCGGAAAACGAGGGUAAUUUUCUGGUGGAAUAGAUUUAAGAAAGUAGUAAAAGUAGUGUUUUGGGGUGAAGAGGUCAGAAUGGUAAAAGAGCAAUAUGAAAUAAUUGAACAGUGAAAGUAAAAGGAGAGAGAGAGACAGAGAGAAGGGGGGAGUGGUCCAGCAAGUGGGGGUGUGUGUCUUUUCCGUUGUUCCGAUGUGAUGUCAUGUGAGAAAGGAUGAUUCUCAUAUCUCAUAAUCAUCUAAUCAAUUUGAUUAAUUUGUGAAUUUUGAAGGGGUAAACAUAGAAGAGAAGAGUGGCCUGCCUGCCGCUGCCAGCCUGCGUAUAUCACUGACACCAUUCAAUUCAACUCCCCCCAAACGGAUCUUUCUCUCUCUUUUAUCUCUUCCGUUUUUCCACCUCGUGACCUACUUACUCUACUCUGCACUCCCUUCUUGUGCUACCCAAAAUCCCUUCUUCUUUUUAUAUAUAUUUAAAUAUCUUUUCUGUUCAGCUCAAAUUUUAGUAUUUUCACAGACAUACCUUCCCUUUGUCUAUUGACACUUUUCAUUCCUUUUUUCUCCAUAAAGCUAGGGUGCCUCUGCAAAUCUGGGUUUUUGUGCAUUUUUUUUGGUUGGUCAAAACCAAUAGUAUAUAUUUUUAAACUAGGUAAGCUACUAUAUAGGCUUGUUGCUAAAAGAAUUCUUUUGUUUAGUUUUAGGGUUGCCGUACCUGUUGGGUUCUUUUAUAUAUAUAUAUAUGGGUUUCUUCUUUGUAAUUGCAGUCUUUGUUAUCAAAUUUACAACACAAAAGCCAAAGAAUUGUUUUAAUUAAUUAUGUAUAUAUAUAUUGUUAGUAGGAGAGACUCUACCAUUUUAUUUCUUAAAAUUGGUUUUGGCAUUUUCCUGGGCUUCUAUAAUAAUACUCCAACCAACCAGCAGGGUUUAGGGUUUUAAUUUGAACUUGUUUUCCAAAUGAGGAAACAGUUUGGGGGUCUGAAAGAAAGGUUAUAGUUUGGGCUACUUUUUCUUUUCUUUAUCUGAUUUGCUAAUACUAGAAUUAUGUUGCAGGUAUGAAAGUAGAGUGAAAGUUGAGAAAUCUCACUGGCGAGAGAUGAGUUCGUCGUGUUUAGGCAGGACGUAUGCUUUAGACCUUGAAAUAAUAAAAUCACCACCCACAUCAACCUCCUCCUCUUCUUCAACUCUCUCCGAUGCCAUCAAUUCCCCACUCGCCAUCUCCACCCGCAAACCCCGUUCCCCUCGUAAACGCCCCAACCAAAC